ACAAUAAAAGGGGACAAGAACAUAGGGCCUAUCACAGAUGGUUUGGCUUGGCUGAAGCAGCUUCUGGUUGUAGACAUGAGGUCAAGAGCAACGAUUCAAUGGACUUGCACAAUCAUUGUGAUUUUGUUGAUUGUGGAAUCACAAGCUCAAAAGAUUAAACUUAAUCCCAACCGCUGGGGCCCUCAGUCAAUGAUGUAUCUCAAAGGAAAAUAUGGCACAAGAGAUGUACCAGACUAUGAUGACAGUGUUUACAAAUCAGGGUUGAAUGGCUGGUACACACUUAUUAAAGGU